rnacentral:rRNA from 1 species
GCAGUAGCCGCGGGAAUACGGAGGGGGCUAGCGUUGUUCGGAAUUACUGGGCGUAAAGCGCACGUAGGCGGCUUGGUAAGUUAGAGGUGAAAGCCCGGAGCUCAACUCCGGAAUUGCCUUUAAGACUGCCGAGCUAGUAAGUGAGAGAGGUAAGUGGAAUUCCGAGUGUAGAGGUGAAAUUCGUAGAUAUUCGGAAGAACACCAGUGGCGAAGGCGGCUUACUGGCUCAUUCUAGACGCUGAGGUGCGAAAGCGUGGGGAGCAAACAGGAUUAGAUACCCCCGUAGUCCCUGUCUCUUAUAC